rnacentral:rRNA from 1 species
AACGUAGGACGCAAGCGUUACCCGGAGUUACUGGGCGUAAAGCGCGGGCAGGCGGCUCGAAACGUCUGAUGUGAAAUCUCCUCGCUCAACGGGGAGAGGCCAUUGGAAACGGUCGAGCUGGAGGGCAGUAGAGGUAGGCGGAAUUCCGGGUGGAGUGGUGAAAUGCGUAGAGAUCCGGAGGAACACCAGAGGCGAAGGCGGCCUACUGGGCUGCACCUGACGCUGAGCCGCGAAAGCCAGGGGAGCGAACGGG